AUGCUGCCUGCUUCCUGCUCAGGACUUGUGGUUCUGUUGAUAUUCAGAGCCAGUGGAGACUCUGUGACCCAGACAGAAGGCACGGUCACCCUCCUGGAAGGGGCAGCUCUGGCCUUGAACUGCACUUACCAGACAAGCUAUCCACCUUUCCUUUUCUGGUACGUCCAAUACCAAAACAAAGAGCCGACUCUCCUCCUGAAGAGCUCAUCUGAAAUCCAGGAGACGGACAGCAGAGGUUUCCAGGGCAGUCAUGUUAAGAGCAGUAGCUCCUUCCACCUGAGGAAGCGCUCAGUGCAAGUAUCGGACUCGGCUGUGUACUUUUGCGUGCUGCAGGCACAGUGA